CAGUCGAGCGGAACGAUGGGAGCUUGCUCCCAGGCGUCGAGCGGCGAACGGGUGAGUAACGCGUAGGAAUCUGCCUGGUAGAGGGGGAUAGCUCGGGGAAACUCGAAUUAAUACCGCAUACGCCCUACGGGGGAAAGCAGGGGAUCUUCGGACCUUGCGCUAUCAGAUGAGCCUGCGUCGGAUUAGCUAGUUGGUGGGGUAAAGGCCCACCAAGGCGACGAUCCGUAACUGGUCUGAGAGGAUGAUCAGUCACACCGGAACUGGGACACGGUCCGGACUCCUACGGGAGGCAGCAGUGGGGAAUAUUGGACAAUGGGGGCAACCCUGAUCCAGCCAUGCCGCGUGUGUGAAGAAGGCCUUCGGGUUGUAAAGCACUUUAAGCAGGGAGGAAAGGGGCAGGACUAAUAAUCCUGUCAGUUGACGUUACCUGCAGAAUAAGCACCGGCUAACUUCGUGCCAGCAGCCGCGGUAAUACGAAGGGUGCAAGCGUUAAUCGGAAUUACUGGGCGUAAAGCGCGCGUAGGCGGUUUGAUUAGUUGGAUGUGAAAGCCCAGGGCUCAACCUUGGAACUGCAUCCAAUACUGUCAGGCUAGAGUACGGGAGAGGGGGGUAGAAUUCCACGUGUAGCGGUGAAAUGCGUAGAGAUGUGGAGGAAUACCGGUGGCGAAAGGCGGCCCCCUGGAUCGAUACUGACGCUGAGGUGCGAAAGCGUGGGGAGCAAACAGGAUUAGAUACCCUGGUAGUCCACGCCGUAA
rnacentral:rRNA from 1 species